AACGAACGCUGGCGGCAUGCCUAACACAUGCAAGUCGAACGAGACCUUCGGGUCUAGUGGCGCACGGGUGCGUAACGCGUGGGAACCUGCCCUUAGGUUCGGAAUAACUCCCCGAAAGGGGUGCUAAUACCGGAUAAUGUCUUCGGACCAAAGAUUUAUCGCCUUUGGAUGGGCCCGCGUUGGAUUAGCUAGUUGGUAGGGUAAAAGCCUGCCAAGGCGACGAUCCAUAGCUGGUUUGAGAGGAUGAUCAGCCACACUGGGACUGGGACACGGCCCAGACUGCUACGGGAGGCAGCAGUGGGGAAUAUUGGACAAGGGGCGAGAGCCUGAUCCAGCAAGGGCGGGUGAGUGAUGAAGGCCUUAGGGUUGUAAAGCUCUUUUAGCCGGGAUGAUAAUGACAGUACCGGGAGAAUAAGCACCGGCUAACUCCGUG
rnacentral:rRNA from 1 species